rnacentral:rRNA from 1 species
UACGUAGGGGGCUAGCGUUGUCCGGAAUCAUUGGGCGUAAAGCGCGCGUAGGCGGCCCGGUAAGUCCGCUGUGAAAGUCAAAGGCUCAACCUUUGAAUGUCAGCGGAUACUGCCGGGCUAGAGUCCGGAAGAGGCGAGUGGAAUUCUUGGUGUAGCGGUGGAAUGCGCAGAUAUCAGGAGGAACACCAACGGCGAAGGCAGCUCGCUGGGACGGUACUGACGCUGAGGCGCGAAAGCGUGGGGAGCGAACAGG